rnacentral:rRNA from 1 species
CGUAGGGACCGAGCGUUGUCCGGAUUCAUUGGGCGUAAAGAGCUCGUAGGCGGCCACUCAAGUCGAAUGUGAAACCUCGAGGCUUAACCUCGAGCCUGCAUUCGAUACUGGGCGGCUAGAGUCUGGUAUGGGGAUCUGGAAUUCCUGGUGUAGCGGUGGAAUGCGCAGAUAUCAGGAGGAACACCGGUGGCGAAGGCGGGAUCCUGGGCCAGUACUGACGCUGAGGAGCGAAAGCGUGGGGAGCAAACAGGAUUAGAUACCCUGGUAGUCCACGCCGUAAACGAUGGGCGCUAGGUGUGGGAGGUCAUCGACUCCUUCCGUGCCGCAGCUAACGCAUUAAGCGCCCCGCCUGGGGAGUACGGCCGCAAGGCUA